AGUCACUGACAUUAGAUACCCGUGUAGUCCAGGGUGUAAACGCUGCAGACUUGGUGUUGGGAACCCUUCGGGGGUGCUCAGUGCCGGAGAGAAGUUGUUAAGUCUGCUACUUGGGGAGUACGUCCGCAAAGGAUGAAACUUAAGGGAAUUGGCGGGGGAGCACCGCAACGGGAGGAGCGUGCGGUUUAAUUGGAUUCAACGCCGAAAACUCACCAGCAGCGACUGUUACAUGAAAGUCAGGUUGAUGACCUUACUAGAUUUUCAG
rnacentral:rRNA from 1 species